UACGUAGGGUGCGAGCGUUAAUCGGAAUUACUGGGCGUAAAGGGUGCGCAGGCGGUUAUAUAAGACAGAUGUGAAAUCCCCGGGCUCAACCUGGGAACUGCGUUUGUGACUGUAUGACUAGAGUACGGUAGAGAGGGGUGGAAUUCCUGGUGUAGCAGUGAAAUGCGUAGAUAUCAGGAGGAACAUCGAUGGCGAAGGCAGCCCCUUGGAC
rnacentral:rRNA from 1 species